rnacentral:rRNA from 1 species
CCCGUGUCUAUCGUACCUUGUUGCUUCGGCGGGCCCGCCGUUUCGACGGCCGCCGGGGAGGCCUUGCGCCCCCGGGCCCGCGCCCGCCGAAGACCCCAACAUGAACGCUGUUCUGAAAGUAUGCAGUCUGAGUUGAUUAUCGUAAUCAGUUAAAACUUUCAACAACGGAUCUCUUGGUUCCGGCAUCGAUGAAGAACGCAGCGAAAUGCGAUAAGUAAUGUGAAUUGCAGAAUUCAGUGAAUCAUCGAGUCUUUGAACGCACAUUGCGCCCCCUGGUAUUCCGGGGGGCAUGCCUGUCCGAGCGUCAUUGCUGCCCUCAAGCACGGCUUGUGUGUUGGGCCCCCGUCCCCCUCUCCCGGGGGACGGGCCCGAAAGGCAGCGGCGGCACCGCGUCCGGUCCUCGAGCGUAUGGGGCUUUGUCACCUGCUCUGUAGGCCCGGCCGGCGCCAGCCGACACCCAACUUUAUUUUUCUAAGGUUGACCUCGGAUCAGGUAGGGAUACCCGCUGAACUUAAGCAUAUCAAUAAGCGGAGG